UGGAUGUAGGGAGAAAAGGAAGAAAGCAGGAUAAACAAGCUCCACACUUGAAGAUCUGAAGUAUCUUGCUCACCUCCUUCGCCACAGAGGAAAAUGCACAUGAGUUACUCACUUUCAGUGUUUGUGAAGGAGCUGCCUGGCUAUGUUCUCCUUGCUGGGAUCUUUAUGCCCAUGGCUCUACUCCUGCUGCUAAUUGCCUUCUUCAGGCUCAAACUAACAGAAGUGGAUGAGGAACCAGCCAUGGCAGAAGACCCCAUAAAUAUCCUCCUGAAUUACCAGGGCCAGUGGCAGAAACCCAGAAGACCUGGACAAAACCAGAAAAAAUACAAGAACCGAAGGACAUUUCAGGGAGUCUCACGUCUCAGGAAGCAAGCUUAAACCCAGUACUCAGCUCUGCAGGUUUUAAAAUAACCAGCUGUAGAUAAAUACCAUGGAGGAAAACAAAAUGGAGAGAAAAAAACUAGUGCUGUGCUAUACAAAUGAAACAGCUGCUGCCGUACGAAAAGGUCUUGUAACAGGUUUUGCUUUCUCACGAGGCCAAGCAAAGUACUUUAUGGAACUCAUCAGGCACUAGAGACCUCUUACAGCACUCUGUAUCAGUUCUCUCACACAAACACAACACAGGAGCUGGGGAGAGGGAAAUCACCUUGCUUCCUAGCCGUUCCCUAGCCUACUGAGAAGAAAGCUGCAUAACAAGCUCCUGAGAGAGCUGAGCUGGCAUAUACAAGGCAGGCAGUCUUAUUAAAUUGAAGAUGCAGAAAUAGCAAGUUCAUUGCAAGAACUGAUGUCUAGGGAAUUGAGAAGGGUAAUGAAAGGGAACUGACUUUUUUAUUAGCUUGAACACUUUGGGAAAGAUUGUAGGUUUUGUAAAGUAUACUUUCCACAGAAUUUGGAAGCAAAAUAUAUUAGCGAUGGAAAGCAAAAGGACUUCUCGCUGCUGAAUGACCAUGCUAGUUUUUGAAACCAUGAAAGAUUCAUGGUUUUGAAAACAUGAAAAAGUAUUCUGUAAACCAGUUAGUUAUUAUUCUAGUUUAAGGACAAAUGCAUGAUUUUUAAAAUAAGCUCCCCCAUAAGUAUGGAGUUUUUUUUCUUCACAUGUCAUAUCUCACACAAAAUAAUCUGCCUCUCCCCCCUUCGCUGUAGAUGUAUAAUUUUUAGUGCACUCCAGAUUAGCUGUGGCUAAUUCAGACUGUUUGAAACUACUAUUGCCUUUUAGUUUUCCUGUUUCUGACUCUCAAGUUUAACCCCAAACUGAUGAAGAAUGAGAAGUGACUCUUCUGUCCGUGACACACACUAUUCCUACCUGCUAGCAACUGCUGUCUGCAAUUACCUUCCAUUACAGCUGUUUGUCAUUACCCACCCUGCAAGAACAAGUGGAUAAUACCUUGUCUGAGAUUAUGUGUGGUUUUGCACAAUUUUGGUUCUCAUAGACUUAGGAACUCCUCUGACUUAAAUUUGAUUAAAAACACUAAUGAGACCAUGACCACAGGUUUAAGAAACACUGUAAUUUAUCAAAGUCUGUAAGAAGAAGACAGGAGUCAAACAGCAGGUACCUUUACUAUAUGUACCAGCCCUCCAUCACAUUCUAAUACUAUCUCAUUUUUAAAAAUACAUAAGUAAGUCAUCACAUUGGUUUACAUCUCCGCAAGUAACACAGAAUACAUUGCAUUGAACAGGUGAAGAGCCAACUAUUACUUGGAAAAAGGUACCUGUUCAUUUGUAUAAUAAAGAUAAAAGUUAGGAUGCUUAAAUGCAAGUACUUCUAAUUAGAUCUAGCAGUCUCUAUUUAGGUUCCCAAAAUAAUUACCUGUUUGAAAGUGCAAAGUGCUUUGUAGUUCCAUUUGAAAUCAACAGAAGGUGCUGGGUGGAAAAAACCUUUAUUCAGAAGUCACAGCGUUAACUCGAACAGCAAAAGUUAAACACAAGAUAGAUGUAUGGACUUUGACUUCAAAGGAAGCAACCCUGUAAGAGAACCACAACAAAACCUGAAAGAGCAAAGAUAGUAAAAACAAGUUUAUCUCAGUCAGCUGGCAGAGGAAUCUGCAGCUCAAUCGCAGCGCUCCCCACCUUCAGCUGGCAAUUCACUUGAAUGCCCUUUAAGAGGUUCUCUGUGUGUUUCAGGAUGCCGCAACUGUGAUUAUGCCGGAAGUCUUUACCCAGUAUUUUGCAAUCAAAAGGCUGAAGACACUUUUCUUUUGAUUUUACUCUUCAUAUAUACUUGUUCUUCCCACUAAGAGAAAAGUGUGCAGUCCUUUGGUUCUUAAACUUCACACCAGGAAUUUCAUUUGACUAGCAACAAACAUGAUCUGCCUCAGAGAGCAAAAGGAAAGAAGCAUUCCAAAAGCAGCUCUUAAAUAGAAAAUCACAGUAGCUCCCUAUCACCCAGCUGUUGAGUGGACCUUACGUGCAUAGCUACUCAGGAUACUGAGGAGCACCUCCCUCCUGAGCUUCUCUCUUACCUGGACAUUUACAUUGCCUGGCAGGCCUAACACAACACAGCUCAAAGCAGUGCUUGCUUUCUUUACACCUAGUACAUCCAGACAUGAACGUAAAGGCAGAGAUCUGUUCUCCUGUUUCCAGUGUUUCUUCAGCGUCAAUUUUCCUUCCUGUUUGGCUGUGAUGUUGAAGAUCAAACACACCACAGAGAGUAGAGAACCAAAAGCUAAAACCAGGUAUAACGUGGUGUCUAAUGAGAGAGAUCUGAAAGCGUGAUUCUAAUGAUCCACCUCUGCUUACAGCUGUCUCAGCUAGAAAACCCAUGGUACGGGAUGGACGAGUCUGACCUGCUGGCCUCCUGCCAUGUCUCUGCUCUGGAGAGCAGAGUUAUGUUAUAGGUUAUAACCUCUCCAGAAGUAUGUUAUUUCAUCAUUUGCUAUUUAAGAGUCCAACAUAUUCCUCAGAAGGAAUAUGUCCCUAGAAGGAAUUCCUAGAAAGAAUAUUCCCUAGAAGAAAUAUGUUCCUCAGCUAGUAUAGGUCCUUGCAACACAGACAUACUGCCAACUGAUUUAGUAUCCUGUGCUGCGGAACAAUUCUUGUUUUCCCACAUAAUCCUUAGAUAACAAAUUUUUGCUUUAAGUAGACCAGCAGCUUUUAAAAGCAGUGCAUUCUUCAGCCACAGCAGUGAAACUAUUGUUUACCUGAGUACAUAAACUUCAGUGAUAUUGAUAUCUUUAAAUAAAACCUUUAAAAACUCUGUAAUAUAUCCUUUCCUCUGGUUUUAUUAACUAUAAUCUACACAACCCUUUGCAGGGAAUUUGAGACAGCUGCUGCAAAGAACUGACAUUUUAUAUGUAAGAAAGAUGCUGCCAAUAGAAAAUCAGUGAUCUUGGACACUGAUCAGGAAAUAUAAAAGGAAAUGUUAAAGGAAACAUAACACCCCUACCCAUCCCACCCCCCUAUCCCACGCACGCAUUUGCCAACCAAAUACUGGCCUGAACCACAUGUAAAGAUACAGAAUUGAAGUUUAGCAAGCCUUACCACAACGUAAAAUUGAUUUUGUUGAUCAGAAUGACUGCUAAUAGAGAAAUUUAACAUGUUGAAAAGUGAUACCACUCUUCAAUAGCACUUUAUUGUAAAAUAGUGGUAUGGAUACUGAAUACUGUAGAGAUACACUGGAUGCCUUUGAUACAACUGCUUCCAGAGCAGUAAUUGCCAACAUGUAGAAGGAUCUAACAUUCAAGACUCAGUAACAUGUCAUGAAAGCCCUUAGGCCUUGCUGUUCUCAGUUCCAUUACUGAACAGUGUCGAGAAAUAUCUCAGUUUUCAUGUUACAGGCACAAAACACAUCAUGGUAUGUUACACAAUUUCUUCAAAAAGGAAAAAUAUAUUUAAGUAACACCAUAGAACUGUGUCUUUGUCUACGUAAAUUAUAAAAGCAUUCUCUAAAUAUAUAUGAAAACAGUGAUUGCAAGAAAAUAAUUUGCCUUCAAUUUUUGUUAUCACUGAGAAGACCUCUGUCUUCCUGUGACUAGCAAGAAUGUGAAACUGAUUCCGCUCUACCUAUAACAUGUAAGCAUGUUCAAAACCUCCUCAUCUAUCUGUGAUUGCUUCCUCUCCACUUCCCAGAACAGAAUUUAAAGUCUCAACAUUCAAGUAGGAAACAUACAGAGAAAGGUGCUACAAAUGAUAAAGAAUUGUGGAAUAGCUUUUGGCUGGGGAAUGCCUGAAGAGAAUGACUGCUAGGUGUCUCUUCUAGUAUCUGCAGUGGUGCUAUCAAAUGAAGCCAGCAGGGGCAGGUUCAGGAGAAAUGAAAGGUGGUUUUUUUUCCUUAACACACAUGAAAUGGUGAAAAUGCCUGACAGAGGAAUUUUUUAAAAAGCAAUUAGCCAAAAAUCCAGAGAGGCAGGUAAGUAUGAAAGACUGACUGACCAGCAAGUCUUUGAAAAUUGCUGAAAGCUGGAAGACUAUUUGGGAAAGUAGUACUUGCUAGUACGAUACUUAAUUUUUACACACACCCCUAGGCAACUACCAAUAGUAGCCUCAGAGGUAGGAAUCUGGGAGUGUUAACUCGUCUAGCCUAGCCCAGUACAGCCAUUCAUACAAACCUUACCUCCAAAAACUCUUGUACUAUUUGCUACAUGCCAAACAGAAUAACUUUAAGCUAGAAGUAUUAGCAUCAUUUCUAAUGCUUGUAAUUUGCACUAAUAUCACUAAUUCAAGUAUCUUUUUUCCAGUGUGGUAUACAAACUCCAAACAACUAAGCAGCCUGAAAAUCAAAAUGGUUUCCAGCCUUCCAGAGGUUUAGUCAGGUCAACAGUACGGGAUAGCAGCUGUUACAAGCCCACUUCCAUGGCAAAUGUGCCUAAAAGCUGAGAAUCUCCCACUGCAUCCUGGCCAAAAGUAGUUAGUUGUCAUUCUGAUCACUGUCACAUCUCAAACUCUGACCUGUGCCAUAGUAUUUCAUUUAUUUUAUUCCAUCUAUUUGAUUUGAAAUGAAAGAUGCCAUUCAGCUUGAGUUGUCAAAUAAAGAAUACUUUGAGAUACUUUGUAUUGUGGUUGCUCAGCGCUUUGAACAAUAAAUCUUCUUUUUUUUUUUUACCAGUCUGUCACCAAACUUGCUUGCUUGUCCUUUAUGAAAUCUUCAUGUAGAAAAUAAUCUGUAGAGCAAUUCCAACAUUUAUUAUGAACCCUUAGGUCAUCAUGAUUAAAAAGAUUUAUUAAGUAUUUCUGUGUAGGACCUACAUGACUCACUAUUCGAAGUAUUUAAGCAGAAUUACUGAAAUAUCUUCUCAUUAAAUUGCCCUGUAAUUGUAUUUGAAAUUACUUAUGUAUUAUAAAGCCAGCUUGUGAAGUGCCAUGAAAACAAUUUCAUUUGUUGCCUGUUGCAGUUUUUGCUGUAGAUAUAUAAAAAAAGUAAUGAUGAAAACUCAUAAUUGCACAAUAUUCCAGAACACUUGAAAAAUUACAUACAACCAGAAUCUGUAAAACUUGACUAUUUUUAGGUUAGAUCACACUUGAGGCUUAUGUCUUUCUGUGUGACAGUGGCUGUUUAAUUAGUACAUGUUUAACCAAUGGAAGGGAUAGCUAUGCACAAGAUAGAUAUAACUGACCUGAAAGCCCUAUUAAUUUUUCCCUGACAAAAGGUUCUGAUUAGUUUUUGAAGAAAUACAGCUCUCAGUGAAAGUAAUAUUGCUUUUAAGAAUAUUGUAUUUGCACUUUUAAGAAUUAAAUACAAUUGCAAUAGAACGCAAUACUGACCUAGCAUCUAACAAAUCAGAAAGAUCCAAAUCAGUAAGAAUUUGAAGUAACAUGCUUUCCUGCCCUCAAACGAGUUGUGCAACUAACAUGUUGUACCAAAAACACCUGAAAAAAAAUUAUAGAGCUUUUUCUUAGACACUUUUGUAUGAAAAAUCCAUUAAGACAUCCCACUAAAUGCAUGUAUUUCUAUUUUGACCUCCACUUACAUAUCCGAAACGUGCAAUUUCUUUGGCAACCUCCCUACUCAUGCUCAGUGCACAAGUUCUCCUGUUUCCACAGGUGUCAGUAUUCUUAUGUCAUUAGUCUGGAGGGAGUUCUCUUCCCCUUUUUGAAGGCAUAAUGUCUCUGCUUCUGAAGAAAGGCAGGUAAGAUUGUUAUCUGCUACUAUUUUUCUGUGUAAUGUGGGAUGUAACUGAGAACACCUACGUGAAUAUAGAAAUCAACAUCUUGGUUACUGUUGUUUUAUGUUAUCCAAAUUAUACAAAGCCAAAGCUAAUACAAAUUUCCGUUAAGCAAGCAUGCUAGCACGUGGCAGCAAUCUAAACUGAAAACAGCACCAAAAAUACACUGCUCAAAAGUGAAAAAGAACAUACUGAGACGUAUUAUAUGAUUUGUUUUGUUACUUGAAGUUUAUAGUACCUCCUAACUCAAUGAACUCAGCAGAACCACGUGCAGACUGAAAGGCAUCUGAACUUGCACUGUGCUGUCCAAACCUCGUUCGUUUUGGCAUGUGAGUAUUUUCUCUCUGAAGCACAGAAACCAGGAUGCUUUUUGGAACAUGUCUAAAAACCGCUGAUACCUAAGUAUCAGUAUGAAGAGCCAGAUAAUUGUGCCACCCCUUCUGGAAACCCUGGAGGCUACUUGUACUAAUCCCUGCUUUUCAAGGUUUUGUGACCUCUAGAAUUCCAGUUCUCGUAACUGACUUGCUCGCUUUAAAUAUCUUCCAAGUUUAUAUCUGAAUGCCAAAUGUUAUACAGAGAAUAAACAACUUUAUUUUAUAACAGAAUUAGAGAAAGCAAAAUAUCACUUAAUACAACUUCAAGCUGCUAUAAAUCUAAUUUGGCAUUUUAACUAUACACAGAGUUGACAGAAAAAAAAAA